GGCCUUUGUGUUGCCCAUUCACUUUCGGAAACUUGUGAAUGUGGUGUCAAAAAAGGCAUAAAUCAAAUUCUUUUGCAGCCAUUACUGCCCUUGAAUUUGGUUUCUUUGGCGUAGGCGUUGCAUAAGGAACAGUU
rnacentral:snoRNA from 15 species